GGGGUUGUAACUUAGUGGUCGAGUGUGCACCUAGUGCGUGUGAGGCCCUGGGUUCAAGCCUCAGCACCACA
rnacentral:tRNA from 1 species